GUCGAGCGGCAAGUCGAGGAGUAAUCUAAGACCUAGAGCGGCGCACGGGUGCGUAACGCGUAUGCAACCUACCUCAUACAGGGGGAUAGCCCGGAGAAAUCUGGAUUAAUACCCCAUGGUACUGCGAAGAGGCAUUUCUUUGUAGUUAAAGAUUCAUCGGUAUGAGAUGGGCAUGCGUCUGAUUAACUAGUUGGCGGUGUAACGGACCACCAAGGCGACGAUCAGUAGGGGUUCUGAGAGGAAGGUCCCCCACACUGGCACUGAGAUACGGGCCAGACUCCUACGGGAGGCAGCAGUAGGGAAUAUUGGGCAAUGGACGAGAGUCUGACCCAGCCAUGCCGCGUGCAUGAAGACGGCGUUCUGCGUUGUAGACUGCUUUUAUCUGGGAAGAAGAGGCCCAUGCGUGGGACAUUGCCGGUACCAGAUGAAUAAGCACCGGCUAACUCCGUGCCAGCAGCCGCGGUCAUACGGAGGGU
rnacentral:rRNA from 1 species